rnacentral:rRNA from 1 species
UGGGGAAUUUUUCGCAAUGUGCGAAAGCCUGACGAAGCAACGCCGCGUGGAGGAUGACGGCCCUCGUGGUCUUAAACUCCUGUCUAGCUGGCCGAAAGUAUUGGCGGUGAAUAAUCUCCGAUAUUGACUGUACCGCUGGAGGAAGCUCCGGCCAACUCCGUUCCAGCAGCCGCGGUAAUACGGAGGGAGCAAGCGUUACUCGGAAUUAUUGGGCGUAAAGGGAGCGUAGGCGAUCCGACAAGUCUGGUGUGAAAGCCCACAUGUUAACUGUGGAAGUGCAUUAGAAACUGUUGGAUUUGAGUUCAGGAGAGGAAGGCAGAAUUCCCGGUGUAGCGGUGAAAUGCGUAGAGAUCGGGAGGAAUACCAGUGGCGAAGGCGGCCUUCUGGACUGACACUGACGCUGAGGCGCGAAAGCCAGGGGAGCAAA